rnacentral:rRNA from 1 species
GAUGAACGCUGGCGGCGUGCCUAAUACAUGCAAGUCGAGCGAACAGACGAGGAGCUUGCUCCUCUGACGUUAGCGGCGGACGGGUGAGUAACACGUGGAUAACCUACCUAUAAGACUGGGAUAACUUCGGGAAACCGGAGCUAAUACCGGAUAAUAAAUUGAACCGCAUGGUUCAAUAGUGAAAGACGGUUUUGCUGUCACUUAUAGAUGGAUCCGCGCCGCAUUAGCUAGUUGGUAAGGUAACGGCUUACCAAGGUAACGAUGCGUAGCCGACCUGAGAGGGUGAUCGGCCACACUGGAACUGAGACACGGUCCAGACUCCUACGGGAGGCAGCAGUAGGGAAUCUUCCGCAAUGGGCGAAAGCCUGACGGAGCAACGCCGCGUGAGUGAUGAAGGUCUUCGGAUCGUAAAACUCUGUUAUUAGGGAAGAACAAAUGUGUAAGUAACUAUGCACGUCUUGACGGUACCUAAUCAGAAAGCCACGGCUAACUACGUG